CAAAGUAUAGCUUAACCACAAAGCACCCGGCCUACACCCGGAAGAUACUACAACAACUGAGUUACUUUGA
rnacentral:tRNA from 1 species